rnacentral:rRNA from 1 species
AUUGAACGCUGGCGGCAUGCCUUACACAUGCAAGUCGAACGGCAGCACGGGAGCAAUCCUGGUGGCGAGUGGCGAACGGGUGAGUAAUAUAUCGGAACGUGCCCAGUCGUGGGGAUAACGUAGCGAAAGCUACGCUAAUACCGCAUACGAUCUACGGAUGAAAGCGGGGGAUCGCAAGACCUCGCGCGAUUGGAGCGGCCGAUAUCAGAUUAGGUAGUUGGUGAGGUAAAGGCUCACCAAGCCGACGAUCUGUAGCUGGUCUGAGAGGACGACCAGCCACGCUGGGACUGAGACACGGCCCAGACUCCUACGGGAGGCAGCAGUGGGGAAUUUUGGACAAUGGGCGCAAGCCUGAUCCAGCAAUGCCGCGUGCAGGAUGAAGGCCUUCGGUUGUAACU